CUUUUGAUGUUAAUAUAUGUGUUGGUUACUUUCACUACUAUUGCUUGAAAUGGUUUUCAAUAACUACAAGAAAGUGUUGCAUUACUUUCACUACUAUUUCUUCAUUUUCUUGUUGCCAAGCUAAUUAUUUUCAAUAACUCAGCUUUUAUGGUUGUUAAUGGUUAUCAUAGCAGGAAAAAACUAUAUUUCUCACCCAUUCGUGAAUUAAUUCAAGCAAAAUAGAUGGUUAGAUAAAGGAAAUGGAAGCUGCUCGUUGCUCACUUUGGUAGACACAUGGAAAAAAGAGACUGAUGAAAAAGAUGUGACAAGCGAAAUAGAAAAGGAUACUUAAUUUUGAAGGAUUUGUGUUGGGCAGCUGUAGAAUAUUUUGUGCUAAAAGUAGUAACUUUUCAAUAUGUUGAAUAUUUAAGACUACUUGAAUACUUAAAGAACAUUUUGUUGUUGAUGACAGUGUUGAAUGUUUUAAACUAAUCUGUGGAUUGUUAAUACAAUGUUGAAUGUUUUUACUUUUUGUUAUUUGAAAAUCAAG